rnacentral:other from 1 species
GCGGGACUGCCCGGCACGAGCCGUUCGAAUAUCCCUGAGGCUAUAAGCAUUCCUAGGGAGCUGUCCCUGCCUGGGUCCACCGGUUCGGCCGUGGGACCCGGGUAUACGGCGCCCACCUGACGUUUAGGCGUCAGAGGAUUUCUCUGGCAACGACCCAUGGUGGUUCCGUC